rnacentral:rRNA from 1 species
UGCUUUAUGCUUAAUCAUAUAAAGUAGCUCUCUGCCCAGUGAUAUAAUUUUAACGGCCGCGGUAUCCUAACCGUGCAAAGGUAGCAUAAUAAUUUGCCUAUUAAUUGUAGGCUAGAAUGAACGAGAUAACGAAAUAAGGACUUUCUUUCAUAAACAUAUAAAAACUAAUAUUUAAGUGAAGAAGCUUAAAUUAAAUUAAAGGACAAGAAGACCCUAUAGAGCUUAAAUUUAACAAUUUAAUAAAUUAUACAUUUCGGUUGGGGCAACCCUGGAAUAAAUCAUCCAUAAUAUUAAGAUAAACAAAUCUAAAUAUACUGAUCCUACAAUAGAUCAAAGGAACAAGCUACCUUAGGGAUAACAGGCUAAUCCUAUUACAGAGUUCUUAUCAACAAUAGGGAUUGGCACCUCGAUGUUGGCUUAGAAUAUCUAUGUGGCGCAGCAGUCAUAUAAAGAAAGUUUGUUCAACUUAUAAUAUUC